AGGGUUCUUGCUGAUUUACUCAUUUCUCUCGCUCGAAUCAUAUUGAGGCUCCAAGGACUCAUCCGAGGACAAAUUACCAACGAAGCUUUUGAAAAUUUCCGAAAUGACACGCUGCAGAUUUUACAGCGAGCUGAGAUGCAGCUAGAGAGACCCAGUAACAGGCAUUUAGGAAAGAGGGCGAUACACGAGCUACCUGACCCAGAAGAACUGGCUC